rnacentral:misc_RNA from 1 species
GAUGAAGAACGUAGCGAAAUGCGAUAAGUAAUGUGAAUUGCAGAAUUCAGUGAAUCAUCGAAUCUUUGAACGCACCUUGCACCGUUUGGCAGUCCGAAGGGUAUGCUCGUUUGAGUGUCAUUGUACUCUCACACUUCUGAUCCUUUGGAUUGGGAGCGGUGGACUUGGGUGUUGCUGCUUUACUGUGGCUCACCUCAAAUGCAUUCGUGCAACUCUUGGUUGGACAUAGUACGGCGUGAUAAGUAUCUUCGCCGGCACCUCGCAAGAGGGUGGCUGAUCAGGAGCUCUGUGCUUUCCAACUGUCUUCAGACAACAACUGACAACUUGACCUCAAAUCGAGUAGGACCACCCGCUGAACUUAAGCAUAUCAAUAAGCGGAGGA